AUUUGUGAAGGUUGUUCGAUACCUCCUCUGCUUCCUUUUACCUACUCCGGAAGGCUGUCGGUCUUCGUUUCCAGGACUCGGAGAGAAGUCGUAUGCUACAAGCACCGAAGCCAUGAAAAUCCCAAACUCGAUAGCCGAUACCAUAAUCACAAGACUCGAAGAGGGCCUCUCAUUAUCCGAAACAGGAGCCACGAGUUUACUCUCCUCUGACUUCAUCCACCCUCACCGAAUCAGCCUAAUCGCGUUACACCAUGCGACAGGGAAGCAGACCGAGGAAGAUUGCGAGCACAUCAGACCGGCGAGGGCGUUCGUCUGAAGAUCACCACCAGGAUUGAUCUCGUCCGAGGGACCAGAACCAACGAUCUGCCCUCCGGAGACCAGAG